AUUGAACGCUGGCGGCAGGCCUAACACAUGCAAGUCGAGCGGAUGAAGAGAGCUUGCUCUCUGAUUUAGCGGCGGACGGGUGAGUAAUGCCUAGGAAUCUGCCUGAUAGUGGGGGAUAACGUUCCGAAAGGAACGCUAAUACCGCAUACGUCCUACGGGAGAAAGCAGGGGACCUUCGGGCCUUGCGCUAUCAGAUGAGCCUAGGUCGGAUUAGCUAGUUGGUGAGGUAAUGGCGCACCAAGGCUACGAUCCGUAACUGGUCUGAGAGGAUGAGCAGUCACACUGGAACUGAGACACGGUCCAGACUCCUACGGGAGGCAGCAGCGGGGAAUAUUGGACAAUGGGCGAAAGCCUGAUCCAGCCAUGCCGCGUGUGUGAAGAAGGUCUUCGGAUUGUAAAGCACUUUAAGUUGGGAGGAAGGGCAGUAAGUUAAUACCUUGCUGUUUUGACGUUACCGACAGAAUAAGCACCGGCUAACUUCGUGCCAGCCGCCGCCGUAAGAC
rnacentral:rRNA from 1 species